CAAAAGCUAAAUCAUGUGUUUUCCGUGGUUUUUUUUUCAUAGAAUUUUAUUGAUUUUUCUUUUUCUUGUGAUGUCUGAUUGCGCCCACUGUUUUGUUUUGUAGGGAUAAUCGAAAUUAUUAUUGAUUGAAACGACGUCUAUUAUUGGUGUUGUUGCUUCUUUUGCUCCAGCUGGCGAGAUUUUUCCAGCAUCAGCAUGUAUAGUUGGGGUUUUCAAAAAUCAUCCCUGCAAUACUUAUCAAUCACAAGCUUUGCAGGUAUCCUCGAAUCUGUUAGCCCUGCAAAUGUUAAUGUGAAUGGGAUGACUAAUAGAUAUUCACAUGAAAAGUUAUUUCAAUAGAAUUUCUGAUAGAAUUUCGCACGGAAGAAAUUGGGUGAUGCCCUGUACUGAAAAGAUGUGUUGGUCCUUUUAAUGUGUGAUUAAAAGGGUUUGCAAUCACAUAAUGGAGCUGAAAGUUCCAACGGAGACGAACUAAUAUUGUACGACUGAAUUUUCUUGGCAAGUUCUUUUUGGAUUUUUGGGACAACCACCUGUUAAAGCCAUUGGAAUAGCCUGGUUCGGAGUAUCAGACUAUUCCAUUGAUUAACAUUAAGGAUUUUGCUGUACAUUGCAAACAGGUAACAAUUUUAUUUAUAUCCCCAUUAUUAAUAUAGGUUAUUAACUUUUUAUUCUGAUUCUCACAUCACCCAUUCCACUUCAGCAAAAAUGCCAAGAAUUAAAUUAAAGUAGUAUUCUUCGUACUAAAAAUUAGCAGCAACACUUCAACCAUUUUGGUGGCAUCAACUGUGUCAUCUAGGCUAAUUAUUUAGCUUCUUCUAUUUUGGGCUUUUGUUUGAAUUGAAGCCUUAACAAUCUGCAAGAAAGAUAGUUACCUUCCUUAUCUAUGCCAUCAUAUGUCAAGUGCUUUAUUUAUUUGGUAAGAUUACUAUCCUUUCUAUUCGGUGAAAAUUUUGAAUGAAGAACCAGAAUUUUUGCCUGUCAGUUUGCUUUGUUGAGCAGCCAUAAGGGGUUGGUUUUGGUAGGAUUGUACUGAAGGUGAUCAUUUUUUUUAGUUUCCUAUUCAGAUGAGGUAUUAACUAUUUGAAACAUGAUAAUAUUGAAAGAUGACUACAGGAAAAAAGCCAAAAGGAGAGUUUUCUCCAUUUGAUCAUCUUUUUGAACGUAGCCUUCAUCGAACUUUAAUUUUCAUGUUACCGCAUUAACAUAUUUCGUACUGAAAGUGUUUUCCUGUGUUAAUAGCCCUUAAUCUAUGUGUGAAAAUUGAUGAUCCAGAAGAUAUAUUAGACGAUAGGGCAUCAGGAAGGUCAAACGUGCUUGGUUCUGUCAGAUAUAUAUGCAACUAAAGAACAGACGUUGCCUAGGAUGACGCUCUCUACCUACUCACUGUAUUUCCAUGGACGAGCCAGGGAAGGGUCUUAGAGUUCAACGCCGGUCUAUUAACCCAUUAAGAUUGUUAAAACUGAUUACAAAAUGGGACAAGACAAUAGUCUACUGGCAGUUAUAUUGGUAAUAUUUUGUACAACUGCACAAUGUUGCAUCCCAAGGUGACUUGAGGAAGGAAAGUAAGAAACCGACUUAAAUGGGAGAACCGACAGCUGCAAUCCUAUGUAUAAUUAAGAUGAAUUAAGUUUGAUAUUCAACAUGAAUACUUAAUUGGUAAAAGUCCUUUCUACAAAUGCAAAAUUUUCUAAUUCUUAAAUAUGUAAACGGGUACAAAUUCAGAAAAAGAGGGUCAUAAUUGUGUGUCAUGCUAAUGCCAAUAAGUGAUGCUUGAAAAUUACGAAUUCAACAUUAACAUUGGCUUGGUUGGACCUUUUAGAGCAUAACAGAGAUGGUAUGGUAGUUUAGAUCAACUAGAUUGGGCUAGAUCACCGAGUUUAAUCAAAACAGGGCUGUGGAGAGUUUCACGGUUCCUGAAGAAGUUGUGAAGAAUUUCAAUCGGAUUUGGUCUCUGUUUUGGAUUAGGAUGAUCCUGUUAGAACUAAACAGGAUCGGUGCUUGCUUCAGACUCGAUUAAAAAGGAAAAAAUGGUUUGAUUUACGAGAAACAUGGCAUAAUUCUUCACCGCAUGUAGAAUUGAUGGAUUGGACUUAGGUGAUAUUUACUCGGACUUUCUCACAAAGAUUGGUUGGUUUGGGCAUUGUUUAUCUAAACAGGAAUUAUAAGGAGUUUGGUUUCGAGAAAAUAGAAGAUUUCUGUGUGUUUUCGAUAAAACAGGGAGGUAAAGUUUUCUCGGGUAUAUUUGAUUUUAUUUGUGGAAGUAGGGUGUGAAGAUGAGGCUAGAAUAUCCUCUGCUAGAUUUUUUUCUAUCAUAGAGAGAUUUUGAAGCCACCCACUGACGGGUAAAAGAAGUAAAAGAGGGAAGAAAUCACGUGGCUUCCGGAGAAACAAAAGAGAAGAUUUCAUCGAUAUUUCUUGUCCCAGAAGGUUUCUAUGUGUAUAAAUAUGAGAGAAGUGUCAGAAAGGGUGGACGAGAGUUGGUGGUAGUUUUCGAACAAUAAAAAUCAUUGCAGAGUGAUUCUGCAGUAGCAGCAGAGAAGAGGAAGAAGAAGAGUUGCGGAGGACAUAUCAGUAGUGUCGUUCUCAAGAACCCUAAGUUGAAGAACAUAGUUGUAGAGAACAUCGCAUAUAGUGUAGUAUCAUUCAAACUAUUCAGUAACAGUCCGUUAGCCAUGUUUAUCUUCAUUUUGAAACACAUAUUGUAAUGGUGAUUUCUGUAACGACCAUUAAGUGUUGCGGAUUCACUGUAUUAUUAUUUCUCUCAAUAAAAACACCCUUUGAGCCAUGUUUCUAUCUUA